UUAAAAAUGAAGUACAUAAAUGGACAGACUAUUUUAGAAAUAGCAAUUCUUAAAUGUCAGCUUAAAAGUAAACCCUGUUGCAGACCAUCAAAGAGAUAACCUUUUAACCUCGCUACCAGAAAUACAUGUUGUUGGCUGCUAAAUAAACAAUAUCGUGUUUAGCUGAUGUAAUCUUGUCAUGUUACUUUUGCUGUAACUUCUGUCUAUAAAUAUGUUUGCCUAACUCUUUGUACACUGGCAGUAGCCCAAUUUGAAACACGUUGUCUUUGUAUCACUGAAAGGCUCUCUCCGAAUGUUCGGUCCAAAAGUGAGGUGCAUGGAACGUUUUGCCCAGCAGUGUAAUAUGACCCCAACAGUGACUUCUGGAGGAGCAUAAGUACGUAGUGAUCCAUCUUAGCGGAGGGGCAUUUGCAUACACAUUUGGUGCCAUGUGUAAAUUUUGCAUCAAAUUAAUCGAAAACCCAAAACAAUCAAUGCAUCAGUAACACAGUGUUCUUGCUGAUGGAGUCCUCUAUCUAUACUCUGAUAUAGGUGCUGCUUUUGAUUUAAUGCAUCAUAUAUGGACUAGUGAAAAGUGAACGUGGAAACCUGACUGUAGAGCAAAUUACUGUAAGAAGGCCAGAAGACUAGAAGAACAAUAGAUUCUUAAUGCGGGACACGAAACAAACUACAGAAGAAUUCCUGUAAAAUGAACAGCUCGCAGCUGAA